rnacentral:tRNA from 1 species
AAAGAUUUAUAUUUUAUUUAGAAUAUAUUACUUACAAUAAUAAGGUUUUUAAUCUUUU